rnacentral:rRNA from 1 species
UACGUAGGGGGCAAGCGUUGUCCGGAAUCAUUGGGCGUAAAGGGUGCGUAGGCGGCGCGGUAAGUCGGAUGUGAAAUCUCGGAGCUUAACUCCGAAACUGCAUUCGAUACUGCCGUGCUUGAGGACUGGAGAGGAGACUGGAAUUUACGGUGUAGCGGUGAAAUGCGUAGAUAUCGUAAGGAAGACCAGUGGCGAAGGCGGGUCUCUGGACAGUUCCUGACGCUGAGGCACGAAGGUCAGGGGAGCAAACGGG